rnacentral:rRNA from 1 species
UACAGAGGGUGCGAGCGUUAAUCGGAAUUACUGGGCGUAAAGCGCACGUAGGUGGCGCCGUAAGUCGGGUGUGAAAGCCCCGGGCUCAACCUGGGAAUUGCAUUCGAGACUGCAUUGCUGGAGUACGGAAGAGGAGGGCGGAAUUCCCGGUGUAGCGGUGAAAUGCGUAGAUAUCGGGAGGAACAUCAGUGGCGAAGGCGACUACCUGGAGAGUUCCUGACACUGAGGCACGAAGGCCAGGGGAGCAAACGGG